rnacentral:rRNA from 1 species
GCCAGCAGCUAUCACUCUGCAGCUCUUAUCUAGUUGCCCACUGAAGCUAAGCAGGGUUGAGCCUGGUCAGUACCUGAAUGGGAGAUCUCCCGGGGAAAACUAGGUUGCUGCUGGAA